UAAAAUGCAAAAAGUUACAUAAAGGUGAACCACCCCUUUAAAGUAGAAUUCAACCCGUAAUAAAAAUAAAAACCCUACCCUGGGUAGAACCCCCUCCCUGCUUUUUUUGGAAAUUUAUGCGACUUUCGUGCGCAGUUGUUCGGGACCAGAAAUUUACUCCAACUGCGCAUGCGCCGAAAAUGCAUUCAAUACCCGAAGAUUACCGGAGAAGAAGAAGAUGGCAGCCAUGAACUCUGAUGCCAGAAUCUGCACAGAGGGGUAUGCUUUAGGGCCUAACACUUCUGGGGCCUUGUUGACUAUAUGAACAUCCACCCUUAUCAACUGCUACAGGCCAAAGAGGAAAUCCAUCCCCUGCAGGAUAUGGUCAUCAACCUACAGGUCAAUGAAUUGGUCCUGUUAAAUUUAGGCCGAAACACGCCACUAAGUCCAAAGUAUGCCGCUUAGCCUCUUCCUCAUCGUUGGCUGAGGAAAGAAUUCUAUUCCCUGUUGGCAUGGAAUGAGGAAAUAACUUUGGAAAGAAAUUUCACCGGCAAUGUUAGGACCACUUUGUCUUGAUGAGCAAACCAUUGUAUCCUUCCUUCAUUGAGGACAUCUUGCUGACGCAGUUGUGUAACCGAACCUUUGGCAUUCCCGCACAGAACAAAUUAUGUCUUUUACUGUGUCUAGUGGCAGAAAAACUUUCUCCAGGACUGUAUCCACUAAAACUCCUAGAAAAGUGAUUUCUGAUCAUUUAUUAACCAUCCGUGAUCCUUUAACGCUUUCCAUUUCAACUGAUGCAUUAACAUUUCUUUGUCGGAUGCCACGAGUAGAUCGCAACAAUAGAUUGUCUAGGUUACCGAAAAAUUAAAUUUUCUGAAGUUUU